UCGCCAGCUCAGUUGUGUAGUAGAAAUUGACUUUUAAUCAAUUGGUCGCAGGUUCGAAUCCUGCACGACCCA
rnacentral:tRNA from 1 species